GACGAACGCUGGCGGCGUGCUUAACACAUGCAAGUCGAACGGUGAAGCUCCAGCUUGCUGGAGUGGAUCAGUGGCGAACGGGUGAGUAACACGUGAGCAACCUGCCCCUGACUCUGGAAUAAGCGCUGGAAACGGCGUCUAAUACUGGAUACGAGAAGGGUCCGCAUGGGCACUUUCUGGAAAGUUUUUCGGUUGGGGAUGGGCUCGCGGCCUAUCAGCUUGUUGGUGAGGUAAUGGCUCACCAAGGCGACGACGGGUAGCCGGCCUGAGAGGGCGACCGGCCACACUGGGACUGAGACACGGCCCAGACUCCUGCGGGAGGCAGCAGUGGGGAAUAUUGCACAAUGGGCGAAAGCCUGAUGCAGCGACGCCGCGUGAGGGAUGACGGCCUUCGGGUUGUAAACCUCUUUCAGCAGGGAAGAAGCGAAAGUGACGGUACCUGCAGAAGAAGCACCGGCUAACUACGUG
rnacentral:rRNA from 1 species